GUUACGCAGUUUCAACGGUCUUGUUCCUCUGCGUCUCAUCAGACUUGCCUACAAGGUUUCGCAAAAUGAAGGUCGCUGUAACAUCGAUCAAAUUGUGUUCGUUUCUUGGAAGUGGUCAGAUUCCAAGUGAUCUGAGAUGCAGGAAACCUGAGGAAUCUGAAGGAGAUGGAUGAAAUGUUGAAAUAAGUCUGGAACUGAACCAGAACAGGUGCCAGUGUCUGUGGAUCUUAGGAUUGCAAAUGUCUGUUACAUGUGGCCAGAUGUAGAUGGGGUUGAGCAUAUGCUGACGGUGUCAUGCUGAAGUAAUCUCAGUGUUGAACCAGUUGAGUUAUGGCUUUUCUGUCAGAUCUUGGACAUGAGGUGAGUGUAAAAUGCAAGUGAAAUGUCUCAGACCCAGAUGAGCGAGUUCAGUUUGUCUAAUUUCCUUCAGAGAUGAAGAUGCUUUUUCUUCACUUGACAAAAUGGUGUUCAGUACCGAGAGUGACUUUUUGGGGGACAAUAGUCUGUGGCUCUGUCUUCUAAAAGCUUAUUAGUUUUUAAACAAUUCACUUUAUUAAAAGCCAGGUAGGUGAACAAUUGAAUAAAUGUCCACAGUAAACCUUGACACUUAAUUGAAACUAAUCAUUAACCAUAUAAUCCUGGUUCAUUCUUUCAAUAUCAGUAUUUCACUUAAGUCUCAGGCAUAAUCUGCCAAUUUGACUUGUAAAAUGCAGUGAUGCUGAAUUGGUUGAUCACCUACUAGACUACAUAAACUCAUCUGGGUCUGAACUGUUUUUUUUGGGAUCUCUGUAUAACUGUUUGAUCCCUGUGCUCUGGCCUGUGUGAUGACCAUGUGUUGCUGACUAAACCGUGGAGUUUAACAUUAGCUCUAGCUGACCUGGUCGGUGGUGAAACUGUCUGUUUAUUGGUGUGCAUGUUAAACUUGAGCUACUUUAUCUAUUCAAGGUGCAGUCUCUUCUGUUGGAGGCUGAAAGGCAGAGCAAGGAUGAGUUUCAGAUGAGGAGUGCUGUGUUCCAGAGGCAGACCUUGAUUGUUUCAAGAGGAUGAAGGACAGCUGUCCUGCUGUGUCCUUGAGGAAAAUGCUUCACCAACAUCACCUCCAGUGUCAGUGGUGACAUUGUGUGAUCGGUGUCCCAGGGCAGUUGGUGAUACAGAUGUAGUUCACCACCACCAGUGAAUGAAUAAUGGGAUUGGUGUAAAGCACUUUAUUUGAUUCAAUAAAUGUUUUUUUUUUUUGACAAA